rnacentral:rRNA from 1 species
AACGAACGCUGGCGGCAGGCCUAACACAUGCAAGUCGAGCGCACCUUCGGGUGAGCGGCGGACGGGUUAGUAACGCGUGGGAAUAUACCCUUCACUACGGAAUAGCCUCGGGAAACUGAGAGUAAUACCGUAUACGCCCUUCGGGGGAAAGAUUUAUCGGUGAAGGAUUAGCCCGCGUCUGAUUAGAUAGUUGGCGGGGUAAUGGCCUACCAAGUCUACGAUCAGUAGCUGGUUUGAGAGGAUGAUCAGCAACACUGGGACUGAGACACGGCCCAGACUCCUACGGGAGGCAGCAGUGGGGAAUCUUAGACAAUGGGCGCAAGCCUGCUCUAGCCAUGCCGCGUGAGUGACGAAGGCCUUAGGGUCGUAAAGCUCUUUCGCCAGAGAUGAUAAUGACAGUAUCUGGUAAAGAAACCCCGGCUAACUCCGUGCCAGCAGCCGCGGUAAUACGGAGGGGGUUAGCGUUGUUCGGAAUUACUGGGCGUAAAGCGUACGUAGGCGGAUUGGAAAGUUGGGGGUGAAAUCCCGGGGCUCAACCCCGGAACUGCCUCCAAAACUAUCAGUCUAGAGUUCGAGAGAGGUGAGUGGAAUUCCAAGUGUAGAGGUGAAAUUCGUAGAUAUUUGGAGGAACACCAGUGGCGAAGGCGGCUCACUGGCUCGAUACUGACGCUGAGGUACGAAAGUGUGGGGAGCGAACAGGAUUAGAUACCCUGGUAGUCCACACCGUAAACGAUGAAUGCCAGACGUCGGGGGGCUUGCCCUUCGGUGUCACACCUAACGGAUUAAGCAUUCCGCCUGGNGAGUACGGUCGCAAGAUUA